rnacentral:rRNA from 1 species
AACGAACGCUGGCGGCAGGCCUAACACAUGCAAGUCGAGCGAGGACUUCGGUCCUAGCGGCGGACGGGUGAGUAACGCGUGGGAACGUGCCCCUUGGUACGGAAUAGCCCCGGGAAACUGGGAGUAAUACCGUAUGAGCUCUACGGAGGAAAGAUUUAUCGCCAAGGGAUCGGCCCGCGUUGGAUUAGGUAGUUGGUGGGGUAAUGGCCUACCAAGCCGACGAUCCAUAGCUGGUUUGAGAGGAUGAUCAGCCACACUGGGACUGAGACACGGCCCAGACUCCUACGGGAGGCAGCAGUGGGGAAUCUUAGACAAUGGGCGCAAGCCUGAUCUAGCCAUGCCGCGUGAGCGAUGAAGGCCUUAGGGUUGUAAAGCUCUUUCAGCUGGGAAGAUAAUGACUGUACCAGCAGAAGAAGCCCCGGCUAACUCCGUGCCAGCCGCCGCGGUAA